UAAUUUAGUGAAUGCAUAGGUACGUCGUUCUUUUAAUCACUUUAAAGAGGGAAUUGAUGAAAAUCUGAUGUAGUUUCGCUACUGUAAGUGAAUAGUAUCACAAUGAUACGCUCAUUAGCCAGAUUACUUUCCUAUACAAAUAAAAUUGC
rnacentral:ncRNA from 1 species